CUCCAGUAGUCAUAUGCUUGUCUCAAAGAUUAAGCCAUGCAUGUGUAAGUACAAGCCGACUUAAGGCGAAACCGCGAAUGGCUCAUUAAAUCAGCUAUGAUUCAUUGGAUCUGUAAACCCACUUACUUGGAUAACUGUGGUAAUUCUAGAGCUAAUACAUGCACCACGUCUCUGACCGCAAGGGAAGAGCGCUUUUAUUAGUUCAAAACCGGUCGGGCCUCGGUCCGUAACCCCCCUGUGAUGACUCUGAAUAACUUUGAGCUGAGCGCACGGUCUCCGCACCGGCGCCGCAUCUUUCAAGUGUCUGCCUUAUCAGCUUUCGAUUGUAGGUUAUGCGCCUACAAUGGCUAUAACGGGUAACGGGGAAUCAGGGUUCGAUUCCGGAGAGGGAGCCUGAGAAACGGCUACCACAUCUAAGGAAGGCAGCAGGCACGCAAAUUACCCACUCCCGGCACGGGGAGGUAGUGACGAAAAAUAACGAUGCGAGACUCAUCCGAGGCCUCGCAAUCGGAAUGAGUACACUUUAAAUCCUUUAACGAGGAUCUAUUGGAGGGCAAGUCUGGUGCCAGCAGCCGCGGUAAUUCCAGCUCCAAUAGCGUAUAUUAAAGUUGUUGCAGUUAAAAAGCUCGUAGUUGGAUUUCAGUUCUGGACUGACGGUUCACCGCCCGGUGCACACUGUCACGCUCCGAACAGCCACGAAAGCCCGCUGGCUCGCACGGGGUGCUCUUCAUCGAGUGUCCCGCGUGGCCGGCAGAGUUUACUUUGAAAAAAUUAGAGUGCUCAGAGCAGGCUACACUNANGGCCUGAAUGCCUAUGCAUGGAAUAAUGGAAUAGGACCUCGGUUCUAUUUUGUCGGUUUUCUGAACCCGAGGUAAUGACUAAUAGGAACAGGCGGGGGCAUUCGUAUUGCGACGCUAGAGGUGAAAUUCUUGGACCGUCGCAAGACGAACUACUGCGAAAGCAUUUGCCAAGGAUGUUUUCAUUAAUCAAGAACGAAAGUUAGAGGUUCGAAGGCGAUCAGAUACCGCCCUAGUUCUAACCAUAAACGAUGCUGACCAGCGAUCCGCCGGCGUUAUUCCCAUGACCCGGCGGGCAGCUUCCGGGAAACCAAAGUCUUUGGGUUCCGGGGGAAGUAUGGUUGCAAAGCUGAAACUUAAAGGAAUUGACGGAAGGGCACCACCAGGAGUGGAGCCUGCGGCUUAAUUUGACUCAACACGGGGAACCUCACCAGGCCCAGACACCGGAAGGAUUGACAGAUUGAGAGCUCUUUCUCGAUUCGGUGGGUGGUGGUGCAUGGCCGUUCUUAGUUGGUGGAGCGAUUUGUCUGGUUAAUUCCGAUAACGAACGAGACUCUGGCCUACUAACUAGUCGACGGAUCUCCAGCAAUUGGUGUCCAGUNCGCAACUUC
rnacentral:rRNA from 1 species